GGAUAGUUCAGUUGGUUAGAGUGUGGUGCUGAUAAUGCCAAGUUUGCAGGUUCAAUUCCCCUGUGCAACA